ACGAAGGGGGCUAGCGUUGUUCGGAAUUACUGGGCGUAAAGCGCACGUAGGCGGGUAUUUAAGUCAGGGGUGAAAUCCCAGAGCUCAACUCUGGAACUGCCUUUGAUACUGGGUACCUAGAGUAUGGAAGAGGUGAGUGGAAUUCCGAGUGUAGAGGUGAAAUUCGUAGAUAUUCGGAGGAACACCAGUGGCGAAGGCGGCUCACUGGCCCGAUACUGACGCUGAGGUGCGAAAGCGUGGGGAUCAAACAGGA
rnacentral:rRNA from 1 species